rnacentral:rRNA from 1 species
GAUAAACGCUGAAGGCAUCUAAGCGUGAAGCCCCCCUCGAGAUGAGAUAUCCCAGUAAAGUAAGGCCCCCCGGAGAGUACGGGGUAGACAGGCAUGAGGUGUAAGUACAGUGAUGUACUCAGCUGACAUGUGCUGAUCGGCCGAGGGCUUGACCA